UAUCUCUGUAGAGUCUGCAUAUCAAUAAGCGGAGGAAAAGAAACUAACUAAGGAUUCCCUUAGUAACGGCGAGUGAAGCGGGAAGAGCUCAAAUUUGAAAUCUUCAAGGUUUUACCUUGACGAAUUGUAGUUUAAAGAAGUGUUUUCUGUUGAAGUUUUGGUAAAAGUUCUUUGGAAUAGGACAUCAUAGAGGGUGAGAAUCCCGUAUUUGACCAGUUGCUUCCAGCUGUUGUGAUACACUUUCAAAGAGUCGGAUUGUUUGGGAAUGCAGUCCAAAAUGGGUGGUAAAUUUCAUCUAAAGCUAAAUAUUGGCGAGAGACCGAUAGCGAACAAGUACCGUGAGGGAAAGAUGAAAAGAACUUUGAAAAGAGAGUUAAACAGUACGUGAAAUUGUCAAAAGGGAAGCGUUUGACACCAGUGUUGUUUUCUCGAAAAUCAAUUAAAAAAAGUUGGAUUUUGUAUUGUUAAGACCUUAUCAGCUUACUGUACUCUUUUCUUGCUUUUUUUAAUGCACUUUUCGUUUAACAAGUCAACAUCAAUUUCUUUUGUUGUAAAAGAGUCAUUGGAAGGUGGCUUUCACUUCGGUGAAAGUGUUUAUAGCCUUUGGCUUCUGCAAUCGGAGAGAUUGAGGUCUGCAGCGUAGAUCCUUCGGGGCUAGAUACGUAGAUGCUAAGUUAUAGUUUUUUAUAGACAACUUGUUGACUAUAAUUAAUCAUGUAGCUUACUCGUUUGCGCUAUUUUACCUACGCUUAGGAUGUUGAAGAUGUAGCACAUCAU
rnacentral:rRNA from 1 species